CAGCACCUCAAGUGGUCAGGAUGAUUAUUGGGCCUAAAGCAUCCGUAGCCGGCUCUGUAAGUUUUCGGUUAAAUCUGUACGCUCAACGUACAGGCUGCCGGGAAUACUGCAGAGCUAGGGAGUGGGAGAGGUAGACGGUACUCGGUAAGAAGGGGUAAAAUCCUUUGAUCUAUUGAUGACCACCUGUGGCGAAGGCGGUCUACCAGAACACGUCCGACGGUGAGGGAUGAAAGCUGGGGGAGCAAACCGGAUUAGAUACCCGAGUAGUCC
rnacentral:rRNA from 1 species